rnacentral:lncRNA from 1 species
AUGAGACUUGGCCAAUCCAGAGGUUGGGACUCAAAAUGUCCCCUGCCCUCCCUCCUAAAGAAUUUGAAACAACUGCGACUAGCCCAGGACCUAUGGCGUAAAUGCCACAUCUUCUACUCCACCCAGACAUGGCCUAAUUACAUACUUGCCAACGAAUCUAAGUGGCUCCCUGAUGGAACCUUUGAUCCCAAUGUCCUCACUGACCUUGACAAUUUCUGCCACAGGGAAAGAAAAUUGUCAGAGGUCCCACAUGUCCAGGCUUUCUGGGACCUCCGCUCCCACCCUAUUCUCCUCUCCUGCUGUUCCACAGCCCAGGUCUUGCUGGCCAGGACCAGGCCCCCACCUUCUAAGGACGCCUCUUCAAUGCUACUGCCAAACUCUCCACCCUCCACCUUUUUGGACCCUCCUGAGUUCCUGGGGACCCCACUGCUGGCCAAGAACCUCCUGCCCCCAUACAUGCAUUCUUCUGCCCCACCACCAUCUUCUGCCCCACCCUCUGCCGCUCCGCUGCCAUCUCCUGUCCUGCCACCAUCUUUUCCAUCUUUUAUCCAGCUACCCCCUGAAACCAGUCCUUCAUCUAACCCCACUUUCACCAUAACCCGUGAUGAACCCCUUUCCCCAUUACCUAUGACAGGCACCCACGUGAUAUUGCCAUUGCCCAUAAGUGUGUGCACGCGGUCACAUGACCAGAAGCCCUCUUCCCACUUCGAGAGGUGUCUGGGGCUGAGAGUAUUGUGCGUGUCCAUGUUCCAUUCAUGCUACAAGACCUUGUACAGAUUGAGCAAAGACUGGGGUCCUUUUCAGAAAAUUCAACUAGGUUCAUCAAAGAGUUUAGAUACCUUUCUCAAACAUACGACCUCACCUGGAAAGACCUUGGUAUUACCCUUUCCUCCUCUCUUGCUUCUGAGGAAUGGGUACAGGUCCAACAGGCUGCCGGAGAUGAGGCUGACAAGGCUCGAUUAUCUGAUCCCACUCUCCCACCAGGAGCCCAGGCGGUACCAGAGGUGGAGCCAGGAUGGGGCUACCGGGAAGGACAGCAGGAAGACAAAACGUUGCCAAUAUGAUAAGAUACUUUUUGGCCGGCAUGCACACAGUCUCCCACAGGUGAUCAAUUCUGAUAGACUUUGA